UAUGUAUGUAUGUUAUCAAUACGUUUCAUUUUUCACUUUCAGCUUUUGAAUUUUAGUAAAUAAGAAUUUGGAGAAAAAUAUUUUAAAAUAUGUAUUUUAAUGUCACAUCAAAAAUACUUAUUAUUGUUGUUUUCAUCGUAUAUUUCCAUAGAUACUUCGCAUAGCA